GUCGACUUAGUUCAACGGUAGAACCUUAACUUGUGGUGUUAAUGGUCCCAGUUCGAUUCUGGGAGUUGAUC